GGUUUCGUGGAGUAGUGGUCAUCAUAUCUGCUUUACAUGCAGAAGUCUACAAGUUUGAACCUUGCCAGAACCU
rnacentral:tRNA from 1 species